UCCCUAGUGGCUCAGAUGGUAAAGCGGCUGUCUGCGAUGCAAGAGACCCGGGUUCGAUCCCUGGGUUGGGAA
rnacentral:tRNA from 1 species